GGGGUUGUGGCUCAGCGGGAGAGUGCUUACCUAGCAUGUACAAGGCCCUGAGUUCAAUCCUCAGCACCACA
rnacentral:tRNA from 1 species